CACCAAAACUUCAAGCACAAUAGAAACCACUGCUGCUACUCCUACUGCUGUAGGCUUGUUUUGGUGUUACUAAUACUACGGAAACAACAAAUACACCAACAUUUACAAAACGUCAUUCACCUGUGAAGGUAUUUUAGCCCAACGAACAGAUUUGUAACUAAGUGUUUUCAUAUGGAGACUGCUACCAUUACCAACUUAAAAAGUUAAUCAGCCGGUGAAUAUUUCCAGGUAAAACUUAAUCUGCAUAGAUAGAGAGAGAGAGAGAGAGAGAGAGAGAGAGAGAGAGAGAAAGCGCAAGAAAAACUUCUCAGAAUAACAUUUUCGCCACAAAAUUUUCGAAGGCCGGAUCAUAUCACUUGCGAAUGCUAUUUUCUAAGCGUAGCGUCUCUCAGAAGUAUAUAGACAGUUAUAUAAGCGUUUGUUAAAACAAAGCUUUCUCUGCCGCUAAAUGUUUGUAGCAGAAACAUUUGUGAUUGAUGCUGCGGUUUGUACCAGUGUGAAAAUACAUUUAACUAAGAAAAUAUGCAAAAUCGAAAUAAACAUCGACAUGUUUUUUCAAAGAAAUAAUUGAUCAGAAAACAAGCAAGUGAUAUUUGGGAGGAAACCAAAAAAUAAGAAGCUAGAAAUUUCGAAUUCAAAUUCAGGUUGCUUUUGCUUUUUAUCUGCUAGCAGAAACCACCGCAUAGCAAAUGGAUGUAUAUAUGAGAGUAACGAAAGAACAGUUAUCAGAUACUUCAAGUUACCGAUGUCUGAAGGUGAAACACGCUAAAAUAUUCAACGGUACAUUUUGGAUUUCUCUAAAAGAUCAUGUGCGUUUGAACAGAAAAAUCACGAGGUAGAAAGAUACACCAAGAAACAAGCGAGUAAGAAGUUAAAAACAAAACAACAACCACAACAACAGAAAUAACCUUACUAACAACAAAAUAACUGUAGUUCAGUAUUUAUCAGAGAAAAGUUGAUAAUCUUAAGCGUUUGUUUGAAAUUAUACAUAAGAUGGAUGCGGAGAAUAAUGAAAUACCAUUCGAUGGUUGGUGGCUACCACCAAGCGUAACCACAAAAAUGAAUGUAGAAACAAUAGAAUUCUCUUUUGCCCUUGGAGGAUUUUUAUUGCUAAUCAUUUUAGUACUUUUAUGUAAAUGUUUCAUGUUCCAUCGUCACAGGAAACAAUCAUCUUCGCCACCUGCUGAACCUAAUCACGAUAUCAACUCAGUUCCUGUAGUUAUACCAUCAUUCAGUAUUUCCAUUAUAUCGAAACCGACUUUGGAGACAGUAGAAAAUGGGGAAAAGUACUACUUGGCAGCAGCUUGAAAAAACAAUGCUUUACUGAAAGAGGAAAACGAAACAAAUUUAAACAAUAGCACUACGGGUCAAUCAGCAAUAAACAGCUGCCAAAUUUACUUUUGCUGACCAUGGUGCCACAAUUCAAAAGGAAAUGAGAGAAUACGAAUUGACACUGCAAAAGCCAAAUUUUUAAACUUUAUAUAUAAGUUAUGAAAAGACUAAUUUUACGGGUUUACAAUAUUCUUAGACUUAACCUUAACUAACACUCUAAUUCUAGUUCUAAUGUUAACCCAUAUUCAUAAAGACCUCAUUGUGGAAGGCAUUCAUCUAGCGGUCAAUACCAAAGAGAGGGCUGACUUCAACGGGUGAUCGACUGUUGCAUACCAAAUAUAACACUCAAACCUAAUCGGUUAUAGCUAAAAUGCCAAAACUGUUCAAAAUAUUUGAGGUUCAUUACUUGGUCAGCUCCGCGUUGUUUAAUCCAGGCCUGCGGAGGAACCUGACUUUAGUAUAUUUAGGAAACUGAAAACACUUGUUGAAUGUACAAGGGUGUCAGGUGACUAAGUGAAAAUUGUAAAUUGUCGGUAUCUUCUCACCGACAUCAUAGUAUGUCAAUGGUUUUCUGAAGAUACCGCAAUAUAAAAUGGUUUAGUGCAGUAAGCACUACAGAACUGUAAAAGUCGAUGAGCAUCUAAUUAACUUGUGCUGUGUUCAAAGCCUCUCAUGAGGGUUAAGGUUUUAUUGGUUCCAUCUCGAAAUCAGUCAGAUUUCAUCAAGAACAUUCAUGCAACUUAAACGUUCAUCUGACAAAUGAUGCGUUAAAUCACCUGAUUACUCUAUAUUGUAACAUUCAAUUUACCAAAUAAAUAUUAAAAUUCUUAAUAUUAAAUAAAUUCAUGUCAUAUAAUGAAAAGUGGAUUCUAACAUUACAGGUAGAGCCUUCCUUUGGAAAAGUGUUAAAUAGUUGUACAUUUAAAUGCACCGUAUGUGCUUCAUUUCCUAAACCCACCCCACGAGAAAGAACCCUGUCUGUGAUGUAAGAAUAUAAUUUUAUACACGUUCCGUAAUUUUUUUUAUUUCUCAGGAGAAGGCCUCUUCCAAAAAUGUUACAAUUCUCUUCUCUUGAUUGUAUGCAGAACUCAUUAAAUGACAUUUAAUAUAAAUAUUACGAAUUUGAUUGACUGUUUUGCUGACACCAACCCUGAAUACUUUCUUUGUAUUAUAGUUUUAUACAUAUAUCUAUAUAUAUAUAUUUUUACAAGAAAAUUAUAUAACUCAGAUAUUGUCCAGUUUCUAUAUUGUCUUAUUGUUUUACUUGUCUGAGUAUCGAUGCUGAUGUUUCACAAAAUAUUGAAGGUAGGAUAUCCAAAUAUUUUACCGAUAAUUACUAAGCAACAUAUCAAAAAAUAAAACCAAAAGGAAUUUGUGUUUUUCGAAACUUGUAAAUUUGUUAUAUUAUUUAAAUGUUUACUGAGCGAGCUACGAAUUGUAGGAUAACAAUAACAUCGUGUACAGAGAAAACGUAAUGGAAGUAGAUUUACGUGUAUCGAAACCAUAGAUUCUGGUAUGAGUAGCUUUGAGUUAAUAGU
rnacentral:lncRNA from 1 species